rnacentral:rRNA from 1 species
ACGUAGGAGGCAAGCGUUAUCCGGAGUUACUGGGCGUAAAGGGCGUGCAGGCGGUUGGCUAAGUUCGUUGUGAAAGCGCCCAGGCUUAACCGGGCGAGGUUAUGCCAGACUGCCUAGCUAGAGGCAGCAAGAGGGACAUGGAAUUCCGGGUGUAGUGGUGAAAUGCGUAGAUAUCCGGAGGAACUCCAGAGGCGAAGGCGAUGUCCUGGUGCUGACCUGACGCUCAGACACGAAAGCAUGGGGAGUGAACGG